GUUCGUCCCACUCCUCUCCAUCACCCAGCGUGCCCCACGCCACACCCCCACACUAACCGGGCGCACCUCCACGUCCGGCCGACGAGCCGCCUCCCCACCUCCCGCCGACGAGCCGCCCCCCACCUCCCGUCGACGAGCUGCCCCCACCUCCCGCCGACGUGCCGCCCUCCAGCUCCAGCUGACGCGCCGCCCCCGACCUCCAGCCGACGCGCCGUCCCCCCACCUCCCGCUGACGCGCCGCACCCUCCACCUUCCGGUGACGAGCCGCUCUCCGACCUCCCACCGAAGCGCCGCCGCCUUGAUCCGCCCGGCGCAGGCGUCCCUCCUCUCUGCCACCUCUCCUGCAUCGACGCUGCCCGGCGUCUCACCCCGGGCCUCCACACACCAUUUUCCGCGGUCGUCGGUACCGCACAAGCUUCUGCGGCCGCCGCGCCUCCUGGAUCCAACGAGGUUGCGUCGCACUGGCCUCGGAUCCGCCCGCCUCCACGCCGUCACCUGCCGACCCCGGCCCCGGCCCCGGAUCCCCCUCCAACCAAAUUCCUGCCAUGGACGAGUUCUGGUUCUCUGGAUUGGUCUUGAUAAAGCUUUCAUACAGGAUACAACUUAAGCUGGAGUUCAUCGCUAAGCAGGUUUGAUUUUGUAAAGUUCAAGUUUUUUUGUGUGUGAUGCAGUAUAGCUCAACUACAUUUUGUUCCCUCUUUACUUUUAAAUUGCUGACUGGAUGUUGAACUAAUUCUCUGCCUUCUCCAUCACUUACGUGGUUCCCUAUUUGGUUGAUCUAUUGUACUCAUGUAUAUUUCAAGAUACUAGGAAACGUAGCUAUCAAUUAUCUUGUAUACAAAAGGUUUGGGACUGGAUCUUCUAAUGAAAGCUGGAGCAGAAGAAGAAGUCCAGGAGGGAGAGAUGGAGAUGUGAGCAUGUAUACAUAUGUUCUGGAGACACUAGACUUAUCUGGUGGUGUGUGCGUGCUGUUGUAUCCUCUUCCGGCCACUCUAAUCUACACCCUCAGUACAAGCCGAUGCAACGCCAAGCAGAUCGACAGGGGUGCGGGGUUCAGUUGGACGAUGACGAGCCAGGCAGCCGGCCUUUGCAUCAUGAACUGGCGCAGUUUGAUCUUGUAAGAAAUGGAAAUUCCCUGAUGUUGAGUGUGUCAAUACAUUUGCUUGGCAGCUUUGCUACUCUAGUUAGUAACAUAUCACUUGCUAAAUCAAAAUUAUUUUGUUGUUCACUUUCCUGUGUUUUGUGGAAUAAUUCUCAGACUUUAUUUUCUGAGAGCUACAAAAAUCAUAGUGCUUAAAAUACCGAUGUGUGUGUCAUACUUGAAUUAAAUAAAGUUAGAGGAGAAAGUACCCCUAUUCCAUUACUUUGAGAAGUACAAGUACACCUUUCUGAUAGUACAGUGCAGGCCCGGUGCUGGCCCUGCACAAAUGGCGUCUUCAGCUCAGUGAUCAUCUUACAUGUCAAGCACCAAACCGACACCGCGGCUUCUGCUGCUGGUGCUAGUGUGGAUGUUUAGCAAGUUCAACUACCAGUCUACGCCGAGUUCAGCAAUGUAGUUUGCUUCCUUUAAAAUUCAGUUAGUUCACCAAAGCCGCCCUGAGGGCGUACAGGACGGCGACGUGUUCGAGGACUGCGACUGGUGGCAGAUACAACUAAAUUCAGGGUGUUCUUAUGCUCUUUUCUUUUUAAGUGCGUUCAAUAAAGUCAUCUUGAAAAUGCUAAAAGAGAAUUGCAGUCUUCUCCCUCAACAAAAGUUUGGAUUCUAAAGGCCAUUGACAAAAAAAGCUCCGGACGCCUCCCUCCGAGAUCUGGCCGCCUUCCCCCUAAGGUCCCAUGGACGCACCGCCACCGCCCAACCCCUCCUUCCGCAAGGUAGCGCUCUGGGCAGCCCUCCUUGCCGCGGUGGCCCUGCUGGCCGUUGGCGGCAGAACCUGGGUGGCGGGUGCUGGCAUGCUUCUUCUCCGGCGAGGACGCCGUGCUACACCGGCGCCGCCACACAUCUUUUGUUCUCGCUAGUAUAUUUCCUGUAGCAGUUCUUCAGUGCACACAAAAAAGACUAGCAUUUCAAUUACUAUCAAUUACUAAAUUCUUCAGUUCAGUUCAAUUACUGAAAUUAUUUCAGUUCAAUUCUUUUAAUAAGUUUCAUUUCGAAUAUAUUAUUUCAGUUCAGUUCAGUUUAGUUUGAUGUAGUGCAAAAAUUCUGAAACUACUAGAUCCGUGUGAGUAUUUUGGGUUAGGGUAAUGCAUGUCUAACUAAUUUUUUUAUUGUUGUACUAAUGGCCGUUUGUGUGCAGUGCUAAUGGCAGUACAUUUUGGGUUAGGGUAAUGGAUGUCUGACCAAAGAAAUUAUUGUCGUACUAAUGUCAGUACUAAUGGCGGUUUGUGUGCAGUGCUAAUGGAAGUACGAUGGAUGAUAGACUACAUAAAUUAUUGUUGUGUGUGUGAUGGAUGAUACCACUUGCUUUUCAUAACAUAAAAGAUAUACAUUCAAUUUUAGGAUUGACGAGGCCAUGUCUGCCUCGGCUUUCUGGGAUCUUGAACAAUGGAAUGACGAUACACACUGAAAUGGCAUACAGAAAUCUGAAUGCUCACACUUGCUACUUGCUAGAGCUGAUACUAGGCUUAUUUUCAUUAUGACACUUGCUACUUGUAGUUGUCAUGGGUGCCCGUUGAAAUAAGUUGUUUUUGUUAACAUGAUAUUGGUCAAUUAAUUUUACAGACCUCUUAUUGGAAUUGGGGCUGCAACUAAAGUAGCAAACACGACUACGUGAGAAGGGUGAGAAUUAGUGGGAGCAGGGUAUGGAUGAGGAAGGAGCACCAGUAUCUUCAAUGUUGCUGCUGUUUCGUUUCCAUCCCUCUCACGUGUGAAGGUCAACCUCCUGGGAUACACGAAGUUUCAGUUCGUCGAGAGGCUUCCUGGAGCUUCAAAACAUUUCACUUCAACUUUUUAGGCUUUUUCAGUACAUCUUACAAAGUGUGUAAGCUCCCUGGAGUAGCGCCUUCGACGCUUGCCCUGCUCCAGCAGUCGUCAUUGUGAGGAUUAGCCACCGUCUAUUUGGUGCGGGACCUACCUGCGAUGGUCCCAUCUAUUGUGAGCCGGCCGUGUUCUGUAUUCUGGUCUGUUCGUGUGUGUAUUGUGUUGCCCUCGAGCUGUAUGAGAGGCCGCCCGCGGAGCCGAGGAAGUUGUUGAUCUGGUCGAGGCAUGCUCUUAUUCUCAAUUUUCAGUAGCACAGAAAUUUGAAAGUUUGAAUGCCAGACCUUGGUAAGUUCUCCUUGACAAAACAUCAUCUCUCAUAUUUGUUCCUACUUUUGUAGGUUGCAGCAAAAACAAGAUGCACAUGUUCAUUUUUUGUAUGCUUUUCAGUACAUCUACUUCCUGACAGUCUGAAUAUGUUGCCCCCACCAUGCCGAUUUACUGCUGCGACCUCGUUGAUUCCCCGCCUUCGAACUGCUCCCUCAAUCCCCUCCGUGGACCACUGCCGACGGUGGGCUGCACCUUCCACGGGAAGCCACGUGACCGUGUAGACGCACGUCUUCAUUGAGUCGCUCACUGCGCAUAUGUGUGUGUGUUGUGUUUGUGUGUGCGUGGCCGCGACCAUGCUUCGCAUUUCGGUGUUGUCUAUGUGUGGUCGUGUGGUCGUCUCACCUCAAACACAUCCUAGGCCGGUGCAUGAGUUGCUGAGGAAAUGCCCAAGGUUGUGGCCUCUCGACCACAACUUCGUCUCAUGGAAGCUGUUGGAUGUGGACAGCCAGAACGAGUUCAAUUCCAGAUGGCUCAUCGAGGAGAAAAAGAAGAGGAACUUGAGUGGUUUCUCUGUGGAGAAGGGCAGAAGAAAUUGUGCUCUGAACAUGCUUGUUGAUACGCCCAUGAGAACGGGUGCAUUUUUCUAUAGAUUUUUGUGUUGCUGACAAAGCUACACAAGUUGUAUUUUUACAAGUUGAACUUAACAAUAUACUCUAGAAAGUUCGUGCAUGUGUGGAUGUUCUUUUGACAUUAAACUGUUAAGUGCUUGCAAAAUCUAUAGUGUUGAUCCA